UACGGGGGGAGCAAGCGUUGUUCGGAUUUACUGGGCGUAAAGGGCGCGUAGGCGGCCACCGCAAGUCGACUGUGAAAUCUCCGGGCUUAACCCGGAAAGGUCAGCCGAUACUGCGGGGCUAGAGUGCAGAAGGGGGCAACUGGAAUUCUCGGUGUAGCGGUGAAAUGCGUAGAUAUCGAGAGGAACACCUGCGGCGAAGGCGGGUUGCUGGGCUGACACUGACGCUGAGGCGCGAAAGCUAGGGGAGCGAACGGG
rnacentral:rRNA from 1 species